rnacentral:rRNA from 1 species
UACGAAGGGGGCUAGCGUUGCUCGGAAUUACUAGGCGUAAAGGGCGCGCAGGCGGCUCAUACAGUCAGAUGUGAAAUUCCUGGGCUUAACCUGGGGGCUGCAUUUGAUACGUGUGGGCUUGAGUGGGGAAGAGGGUCGUGGAAUUCCCAGUGUAGAGGUGAAAUUCGUAGAUAUUGGGAAGAACACCGGUGGCGAAGGCAGCGACCUGGUCCUUGACUGACGCUGAGGCGCGAAAGCGUGGGGAGCAAACAGG